rnacentral:rRNA from 1 species
UUAAGUGACUAAGCGUACACGGUGGAUGCCUUGGCAGUCAGAGGCGAUGAAAGGCGUAAUAACUUGCGAUAAGCCCAGAUUAGGUAGUAAUAACCUUUUGAGUCUGGGAUUCCUGAAUGGGGAAACCCACGUGCAUAAGCACGUAUCCUGUUGUGAAUACAUAGCAACAGGAGGCAAACCGGGGGAACUGAAACAUCUAAGUACCCCGAGGAAGAGAAAUCAACCGAGAUUCCGAAAGUAGCGGCGAGCGAAAUUGGAUUAGCCCUUAAGCUUUUAAUGAUGCAGGUGAAGAGUCUGGAAAGUCUCGCAACAAAGGGUGAUAGCCCCGUAACCGACACAUCAUAAUCAGUGAAAACGAGUAGGGCGGGACACGUGAUAUCCUGUCUGAAUAUGGGGGGACCAUCCUCCAAGGCUAAAUACUACUGACUGACCGAUAGUGAACCAGUACCGUGAGGGAAAGGCGAAAAGAACCCCUGUGAGGGGAGUGAAAUAGAACCUGAAACCGUGUACGUACAAGCAGUAGGAGCACCUUCGUGGUGUGACUGCGUACCUUUUGUAUAAUGGGUCAGCGACUUAAUUUUAGUAGCAAGGUUAACCGUUUAGGGGAGCCGUAGGGAAACCGAGUCUUAACUGGGCGUACAGUUGCUAGGAUUAGACCCGAAACCAGGUGAUCUAGCCAUGGGCAGGUUGAAGGUUGAGUAACAUCAACUGGAGGACCGAACCGACUAAUGUUGAAAAAUUAGCGGAUGACUUGUGGCUAGGGGUGAAAGGCCAAUCAAACCUGGAGAUAGCUGGUUCUCCCCGAAAGCUAUUUAGGUAGCGCCUCGGACGAAUACUACUGGGGGUAGAGCACUGUUAAGGCUAGGGGGUCAUCCCGACUUACCAACCCUUUGCAAACUCCGAAUACCAGUAAGUACUAUCCGGGAGACACACGGCGGGUGCUAACGUCCGUCGUGGAGAGGGAAACAACCCAGACCGCCAGCUAAGGUCCCAAAGUAUAGCUAAGUGGGAAACGAUGUGGGAAGGCUCAGACAGCCAGGAUGUUGGCUUAGAAGCAGCCAUCAUUUAAAGAAAGCGUAAUAGCUCACUGGUCGAGUCGGCCUGCGCGGAAGAUGUAACGGGGCUAAGCUAUACACCGAAGCUGCGGCUACGUACCUUAGGGUAUGUGGGGUAGGGGAGCGUUCUGUAAGCCGUUGAAGGUGGUCUGUAAGGGCUGCUGGAGGUAUCAGAAGUGCGAAUGCUGACAUGAGUAACGAUAAAGGGAGUGAAAAACUCCCUCGCCGGAAGACCAAGGGUUCCUGUCCAACGUUAAUCGGGGCAGGGUAAGUCGACUCCUAAGGCGAGGCCGAAAGGCGUAGUCGAUGGGAAACGGGUUAAUAUUCCCGUACUUCUUACAAUUGCGAUGGGGGGACGGAGAAGGCUAGGUGGGCCUGGCGACGGUUGUCCAGGUUCAAGUAUGUAGGCGGGUGGUUUAGGUAAAUCCGGACCGCUACUAACGCUGAGAUACGAUGUCGAGCUACUACGGUAGUGAAGUCAUUGAUGCCAUGCUUCCAGGAAAAGCCUCUAAGCUUCAGAUUGUAAGGAAUCGUACCCCAAACCGACACAGGUGGUCGGGUAGAGAAUACCAAGGCGCUUGAGAGAACUCGGGUGAAGGAACUAGGCAAAAUGGUACCGUAACUUCGGGAGAAGGUACGCUCUUAUCAGUGAAGUCCCUUGCGGAUGGAGCAGACGAGAGUCGCAGAUACCAGGUGGCUGCAACUGUUUAUUAAAAACACAGCACUGUGCAAAAUCGUAAGAUGACGUAUACGGUGUGACGCCUGCCCGGUGCCGGAAGGUUAAUUGAUGGGGUUAGACUUCGGUCGAAGCUCUUGAUCGAAGCCCCGGUAAACGGCGGCCGUAACUAUAACGGUCCUAAGGUAGCGAAAUUCCUUGUCGGGUAAGUUCCGACCUGCACGAAUGGCGUAAUGAUGGCCACGCUGUCUCCACCCGAGACUCAGUGAAAUUGAAAUCGCUGUGAAGAUGCAGUGUACCCGCGGCUAGACGGAAAGACCCCGUGAACCUUUACUACAGCUUGGCACUGAACAUUGAACCUACAUGUGUAGGAUAGGUGGGAGACUUUGAAACCGCGUCGCUAGAUGUGGUGGAGUCGUCCUUGAAAUACCACCCUUGUAGUUUUGAUGUUCUA